GCCGCAUCCGGGACAGUUUCCACUCUCCCCCGAGAUAAGAAUUUUCUGUCAGUGAAGUGUUGUCGACGCCCAGUUACUCAUAACAGAGGCAACAAUCAAAAUGCAGACGAUAAAGUGUGUUGUGGUAGGCGAUGGAGCCGUGGGUAAAACUUGCCUGUUGAUAUCAUAUACUACUAAUAAAUUCCCAUCGGAGUACGUGCCUACGGUCUUCGACAACUAUGCCGUCACCGUCAUGAUUGGUGGCGAACCUUAUACCUUAGGACUAUUUGACACAGCAGGUCAGGAGGAUUACGACCGACUGCGGCCUUUAAGUUACCCACAGACGGAUGUAUUCCUUGUUUGCUUCUCGGUUGUAUCUCCAUCAUCUUUUGAAAAUGUUAAAGAAAAGUGGGUGCCUGAAAUAACGCAUCACUGUCAGAAAACACCAUUUUUGUUGGUCGGCACGCAAAUUGACUUGCGGGACGAUGCAGCAACUAUCGAAAAGCUUGCGAAGAAUAAGCAGAAACCGAUUACAGGGGAACAAGGUGAAAAACUCGCAAAAGAACUAAAGGCAGUCAAGUAUGUCGAAUGCAGUGCCCUCACACAGAAAGGGCUAAAGAACGUGUUCGACGAAGCAAUACUCGCAGCGCUAGAGCCUCCGGAACCAGUCAGAAGAAGAAGGUGCGUCAUCUUGUAGGAGGCUUCCAUGAGCCCUCCUCUAAUCGUGAAAGAAUUGGCUUGUCACGCCCUACAUUGUGACAAAGCACAAUGCCGGAUAUACAGACUUUUUUCGCACGACCGUGUUUUUUAUAUAGAGUAUGUAUAUUAUACGAAUUGUACAAUUAGUGGAACUGAAUUUUAUUUAAUUUGGAUAGUCACGUUGUGCCCAGUGCACGCCGAUAAGAGGUCCGAUAUUACACUAAUAUUAAAUUUAUAAGAAAUUUUUCACGAAAA
rnacentral:misc_RNA from 1 species